UUUUAAAAAGAUUAAUACUCUCAUUAAAGUUAUCAUUGUGAGAAUAAAAGUAUUCGAUUCGAGUGGAGACUUCAUUGUCAAUGUGUUGGAAUCAUAUGGGUUGAACUUGAAACUAUUCAGCCUUUUAAACAAAAGUACUUGUUCCCCGAUCAUUACAGGAAUGUUUGAUAUAUAAUUUCAAGUACGAUUCAUCAUUCAACGUAGCAUACUUCAUUAGAACCGUCAAUUUUAAUAAUGACCAAAGUAUGAAAAUAAUCAUUUCCGUUUGCACCUUACACAACUUCUCUAAUAUUCUCUUCGUUUUCUACUUGCUUAAUGAUGUCCGUCAUUAUAAUUAUUCGAAGCGUAGCACCGUGAGAUAUAAUUAUAUGGAAAGAAACGCGACGUGUGAAGAUUAGGGCCGUUGCCUACAAUAUCAGAGAUCUUUACAUGCGAUGAAAAGCAUCGUUGAAUUUCAAUUUUAAUAAAAGUUAAAUCUUUUCGUAAUUGUGAUCGAUACACUGUGAAGUCUCCUAUGACCUUGGUUGGAUUAUAAUAGCGAAAAAAAUUAUAGAAAGGGCUGUAUAAAUAAAGUCGAAAAAUGCUCGACUGCCAAAGCCAUCCCGCCAUUUUUUACCCGCCAAAAAUGAACAAAUUUGAAAGUUGCAAAUUACUUUGAAAAUUUAUAAAUUUGAGAAAGUAUUCGGUUUACAGUGAAACGUAGGAAAGCCAUCUGGACACGAUCAGGACAAGAUUCAUCUCCGAGCUGACUUUAUGCGCCUUUCGCUUGGUCGGUAAAUACUAGUACAGCGUUACCCCGCAUACCAAGCUGUUUGAUAUCGACGAAUAAAAUACUGCAAAUCUAUAGAAGGAUAUGUUCGAAGGAUAUUGAAAUUUUCUCGAGCGUACAAAAAUGUAUCAACCGCAUGGAAUUUAAAUCCUGUCGCCCAUUCGCAUUGCUUCUUAUUCGCCCGAAAACAUUUCUCGGUUUUCUUACGAAUGUCAAGAUAUUAAAAUGCACGGUACCGUGAUUUUUCACAGCGGUAUUUCGAUGAUCCCAUUCCAUAUGUUCCAUACAUUCUUCUCUUACCAUACAACUUAUAAUAAUUGUUACAAAUCUCUUGAAUUAAAAUUAGUGUACGUUUAUUUAAUCUUUUUUAGAUUUUUAAUGAAGCUAAUAUAAGUUACUGGAAUCGCAAGAAGCUGUACUGUACAGUUGCAAGAAAUUCGCUCCGUACAUUGUUAUUAAUUAUCAAUUUUUCAAGCUAUCGAUGAUCAAAAUUAAACACACGCGUAUCGAAUCCGAACACACCACAUUGCACAGUCUUUCACGCAGUUUACCGUGGAGACAGUGAGAGUUUAAGGAGUUCAGUGUAUUUGGCAACGACUCUGCUUAUGAAUCACCAGACCACCUGUUUCCAAGUUUGAAAUAGGCCUUGAUACAGCAAUCUGGCUAAAUAUCAAUUAUAUUAUGAUAACAACUGAUAUAGAACAUGUAAUUUUAUCAAAUUAAAUCUAUUUAUUCUUAUUUACAUUUCCUACAUAAAGUGACAAGGUAUAUUUUCA